AUGCUGAGCUGGGAAUUCGUUUAUUCUGGUUUUACUUCUGGUUUGCACCGGCACGGUUUAGUCACGACAGGCUGUAUUUUUGUUAGUGAGAUAACCAAUUUUUGCAUUAUUUUUUUGAUUGGAUUUUGUGGACUGAUUUGUAGUCUUGUGCAGAAAUGUAGCUUGAGCAUUUAUUAUUUUGGUUAUUGA